CCUAUUUCUACACCACUUGCAACUACUAAUAAUCUGGCGUUGGAAGAUAGUGCUUAUUUGAGUGACUCCAAAGACUAUUAAAUUCUGGUUGGAUGCCUCCAAUACUUGGUACUAACACGGCCUGACAUUACAUUUGCUACCAAUCGGCUAGCGCAGUUUUCACAUAGACCAUCUACAAAUUAUUGGGCUGCUUUUAAUCAGGUGAUCCGUUAUCUUGCUCAAACAAUGGACAAAGGAAUUUAUUUUUCUAAGGACUCUCCUUUGGUUUUAUAUGCUUUUUCUGAUGCCGAUUGGGCUGGAAAUCGUGAUGAUCGUACCUCUAUUAGUGAUUAUAUCAUCUUCCUUGGUAAAAAUACAAGUUCUUGGUGUUCCAAGAAGCAGCGAACAGUAGCGCGUUCAUCCACUGAAGCCGAGUAUAGAUCAGUCACUUCCACUGCUACUGCUAAAUUGUGUUGGGUCCAGAAUCUCAAGGAGAUUUCUCUUCCUCUUUCUAGACCACCAAUGAUCCAUUAUGAUAAUCUAGGUGCGACUUACCUUUCUACAAAUCCAGUCUUCCAUUCAAGAAUCAAACACUUGGAAAUUGAUUACCAGUUUGUUCGUUCUAUGGUUCAACGGGGUCAACUUCGAGUUGCUCACAUUUCAAAAAAGGAUCAGGUUGCUGACUUACUAACGAAGCCACUCUCCCGUCAUGAAUUUGAAUGGUUUUUGUCCAUGAUUGGCAUCUCCGAUAGACAACCAUCUUGAGGGGGCGUAUCAGGAAUAUUCCAUAUUCCUAUUCUGCAAAUCCACCUCUUCAUUAUUGUUUCCUUAUGUGGUGCACUGCCGUAUCUCUCUCUUAAUGUAUAUUAAUAACUUUCCUUAAGUGUGGAUAUUUUCCUUUCUAGUUCUUUAUUUCCUUUCAUAUCAAUGUCCUCUUCCAUGCAUAAAUUAGAGACAAUUGUGCAUCAGUAGGGAAUGAAAAAGACUUACAAGGCAACUCUUUCACCUUUCAUGCAUGUUCGCCUCACAUCCCUUGAUUCACAUAAUGGUAAUGAAACUGAUAUACAAGCCUUACUUGCCAUCAAGGAAGGAAUAACUCAAGAUCCUUAUGAUAUUUUUACUUCAUGGAAUGAUUCAGUGAAUAUCUGCAGGUGGGCAGGUGUCACUUGUGGCCAGCUUCAGCAAAGAGUCACUAAACUGAACUUGACAUCACUUGACCUAGUAGGUAUUUUAUAACCUUACAUAGGGAAUCUUUCUUCUCUCAGUAGUCUCAACCUUGAGCUCAACCAUUUCAAUGGAAAAAUCCCACAUCAGGUUGGUGGUUUGUUUAGACUCCGGCAUCUUAGUUUGACUAAUAGCUCAUUUUCUGGGGGGAUACAGAUAAAUCUUUCUCAUUGUUUGAAUCUUGUUAUAGUUAAUUUUGGUUAGAACCAAUUGUCUGGAAAGAUUCCAUUUGAGCUUGGCUUAUUGCAAAAGCUUGAGAGAUUGCAAGUUCACAACAACAAAAUAAAUGGACUAAUCCUGAAACAUUGGGUAAUCUUUCCUCAAUCAAAUCACUUUCUUUGUCAGCUAACAAUUUGGAAGGAAUUAUUCCUAGUUGUGUUGGCCAAUUGAAAACAUUGAAUUUUCUUGGUUUGGGAAUAAAUAAGUUAAAUGGUGCGGUACCUGCUUAAAUUUUCAAUCUUUCAUCUCUUGAGAUAUUCAUAGUCCAUUAUAAUCAGCUGUAUGGAACUUUGUCAUCAGAAUUUGGUUUUAGUCUCCCCAAGUUGGAGGUACUAAAGAUUGGUCAUAAUUGGUUAAAUGGACCCCUUCCAAAGUUAUUAUCUAAUGCUUCAAAUCUAGUUGAACUUGAUGCAAAAUGGUAGCAAUACUGGCAAAGUGUCGAUUGACUUUGAAGGCUUAUCGGAUCUUUGGUACCUGAUUCUUGCAUCAGAUUCCAUUGGAACAGGAGAAGUUGAUGACUUGAGUUUUUUCAAUUCUUUGAAUAGCCGCAGACACCUGAAAGUUCAUGAUUUAAGUGAUUGCAAAUUUGGAGGUGAGCUGCCUGAUUCUAUUGCAAAUUUAUCAACAACUCUUUUGUUGCUAAGAUUGGGAGGUAAUCAACUAGUUGGUAGUAUUCAUUUAGGAAUAGGAAAUCUUGUUAACUGUCUGAAUUGCAAUUUCAAUAAAAUAAUUUUUCUGUUAGCAUUCCUGAAGUCAUUGGCAAUCUCCGUAGGCUUCAGUUAGUGAAUUUAUCUGAAAAAGGUUUUUAGGAAGUAUUCCAUCUUCUAUGUCUAACACGACUAGAUUAUAUCCACUUCAUCUUGAAAAGAAUGAGUUAACUGGUAACAUUCCCCUUAGUUUUGGUGAUUCAGUACUUGCAAUAUUUAGACCUUUCUCAGAAUCAUCUAAGUGGUACCAUACAAGAUGGAGUCAUGAGUUUGUCUUCCUUAACAAAUUAUCUUUAUAUUGCUGACAAUAAGGUAUGCUAUCAGUUGAAAUUGGAGCUCUCAACAAUCUUGGGAGAUCGGAUAUUUCUAAUAACAUGUUGUCUGGUAAAAUUCCUGGUAGCAUAGGGAGAUGUGUAACUUUGGUGAGCCUUCUUUUAUCUGGCAACUUCUUUGAAGGUAUAAUUCCAUCAUCCCUUAGUUCUUUGAGUGGUCUUGAAGAGUAGGAUCUUUCUCGGAACAAUUUAUCCGGUUAGAUUUCCAGAUCUCUUCAGCUGAUUUCCUUAAAAAAAUUGAAUUUGUUGUUCAAACAGUUUUGAGGAUCAGUUACCAACUGCAGGAGUUUUCAGAAAUGCAUCUGUAAUCUCCAUAUCUGGGAAUAAGAAACUUUGUGGGGGUAUACCAGAACUGGUGUUGCCAAUAUGUCCUAACACCGAACUAAGGGAAAAGAUAAGUCCAGCAGCAUUAAGUGAAUGAUCCCUCUUCUUUCCGGACUUGUUGCACUGGUCUUGAUCAUGUCUUUAGUCAUAAUCUUUCGGUUAAGAAAGGCAAGGUGAGUGCCUUCUUUAACAUCUUCACCCCUAGGGGGUAUGAGGGUUACUUAUGAGAGCCUAUGUAGAGUGACCAAUGGGUUCUCUUCUGCCAAUUUGAUUGGGAAUGGUAGCUUUAUUUAUGUUUACAAAGGGUUACUUGAUCCAGGCGAAAGUAUGGUUUCGGUAAAGGUGAUGAACAUUGACCAACAAGGGGCUAAGAGCUUCAUGGCUGAAUGUGAGGCCCCACUAAACAUUAGACAUCAAAAUCUUGUUAAGAUCUAUACUGCCAGUUCAACUAGUGAUUUUGAAGGUAAUCCAUUUAAAUCUUUAGUUUAUGAAUACAUGCCUAAUGGGAGCUUAGAAAGUUGGUUGCAUCCCACUUGGGGAACUGAUGCCUCAAAUAACGAGGUGAGGAUCCUAGGUCUAGGUUAAAGACUAAGCAUUUCUAUUGACGUGACAUGUGCAAGGGAAUAUCUUCAUCACCAUGGCCACAAGCCAAUUGUGCACUGUGGUCUGAAGCCAAACAACAUUAUUCUCGACAAUGACAUGACUUCCCAUGUAGCAGAUUUUGGAUUAGCAAACAUUUUCUCAGAAGCCAUGAGCAAAUAUCGUCCUAAUCAGAGUAGUUCGAUUGGAUGAAGGGGACAAUUGGAUAUGCUGCACCGGAGUACAUCAUGGGAGGUAAGGCUUCCGCAUUUGGUGAUGUUUACAGCUAUGGGAUCCUUUUUGUUGAAAAUAUGCCUGACAAAUAAAGUAGGAAUAGAUAUGUUUAGUACUUUUUAAUUGUAUUGUUAGAGUUCUAUGUAACUUAACAAUUAGUUUUCCCUUUAUUAUUAUUUGAAUAGUAAUUAGUUAUCCCAAUUUAAAUUAAAGUGUAGUUAGAAAUUUAGCUAUAAAUAUAUAUUUUGGGUUAUUAAUAAAAAAAUUCGCUUUGACAAUACUAUUGCCGUAUUUUAUUUUUCUCCAACUCUUUCGUUGUUAUUCUCCAAUUUCAAAGCUAAAAACCAACAAUUGGUAUCAAGAGUGGAUCUGUGAGAGAUGAAUUCUGAAAAUAACUUUUCCCAAAUAGCUCCUCCUGUCUUUGAUGGUGAGAAUUACCAAUUUUGGGUAGUAAGAAUGGAGACUUAUCUUGACGCUUUAGAUCUUUGGGAGGCCCUGAAGGAGGAUUAUGAUGUUGUUCCGGUGUCCGAUAAUCCCACAGUGGCCCAGAUCAAAAGCCAAAAGGAAAAGAAAACUAGAAAAUCAAAAGCAAAAGCGACUUUGUUUGCUAGUGUUUCUCCAACAAUUUUCACUUGAAUUAUGACCUUUAAAUCAGCAAAAGAAAUUUAGGAUUAUCUAAAGAAAGAAUAUACAGGAGAUGAAAAAAUACGAGACAUGAAGGUGUUGAAUCUAGUCAGGGAAUUCGAAUUGCAAAAGAUGAAGGAAUUUAAGACCGUCAAAGAGUACUCAGACCGUCUUCUUGGCAUUGAAAAAAUUCUUUUUAUAGUGCCUGAAAGAUAUGAAGUAUCAAUAACUACAUUGGAAAAUACAAAAGACCUGUCCAAGAUUACCUUGACAAAUUGUUAAAUACGUUGCAGGCGCAAGAACAAAGGAGGCUUAUGCGGCAGGAUGGUAUAGUUGAAGUAGAUUUGGCCGUCAACCACAAGACUCAAAGCAAAGGCAAAAAUUUCUUAUUUAAUCUAACAGAAGAUGCACAUAAGUCAUGCAAGAACAAAGACGAAUUGACAGAUUUAUUCAAGAGGUCAAAUUCAGCCGAAACCGAGACAAAUUCUAAUCCAAAGAGGAGUGUUGAAAAUAUGUAAAGUAGGAAUAGAUAUUUUUAGUAGUUUUUAAUUAUUAAAGUCCUAUGUAACUUAGAAAUUAGUUGUCCUUUAUUAUUUGAAUAGGAAUUAAUUAUCCCAAUUUAAAUUAGAAUGUAGAUAGAAAUUUUUGAGUUAUUAAUAAAAAAAUUCUCUUUGACAAUACUAUUGUCAUAUUUUCUUUUUCUCCAACUCUUUCUCUGUUAUUUCUCCAAUUUCAAAACACUUUUGCUAGAGAUGUUUACUGGAAAGAGACCUACUGACAGCAUGUUCGAAGAUGGACUGAGACUUCACAAUUCGGCUAAGAUGGCUUUACCUGAAAUAAUUGAUGAAAUAAUAGACCCUAUGCUUCUAACUAGCACCAGCAAAGAAAGACAAGAGGAAGGUCUACUUACCAAUCUAGACAAUUCUAGUAUGUAACAAGCACAGGAAUGCUUGAUCUCGAUAAUGCAGAUUGGAGUUGCAUGUUCAGAUGAAUCCCCGAGAGAAAGGAUGGAUAUUGGGGAUGUUUCCAAGGAACUGCAACUAAUUAGAGACACUCUCCUUGCUUCUCAUGCAAAUUCACAGCUCAACCAGCGGGUAAAUUUGCUCUACUAGCUUUUUUUCCAAUGUGAUUUAUAAACCUGAGAGUUGAUUACUUUCUAAAGAAAAUGUUA